GAUGGGAUAGCAGCACAUUUGGAAAGCGGUGAAAUCAUUGGACAAAGUCAGCAAGGAUUUAUGAAAGGUAAAUUAUGCCUGACGAAUCUUAUAGAAUGUUUCGAGGACGUAACUAGCAGAGUGGAUAAGGGAGAACCAGGGUAUGUGUGAUAUCUGGAC